rnacentral:rRNA from 1 species
CCUACGGGAGGCAGCAGUGGGGAAUAUUGGGCAAUGGAGGCAACUCUGACCCAGCAACGCCGCGUGAAUGAUGAAGGUCUUCGGAUUGUAAAGUUCUUUCCUAAGGGAAGAAGAAAGUGAUGGUACCUUAGGAAUAAGCCUCGGAUAACUACGUGCCAGCAGCCGCGGUAAUACGUAGGAGGCAAGCGUUAUCCGGAAUGACUGGGCGUAAAGGGUGCGUAGGGGGUUUGACAAGUUAGUAGCGAAACUCCGGGGCUCAACUUAGAAACUACUACUAAAACUGUUAGACUUGAGUGCAGGAGAGGCAAUCGGAAUUCCUAGUGUAGCGGUGGAAUGCGUAGAUAUUAGGAGGAACACCAGUGGCGAAGGCGGAUUGCUGGACUGUAACUGACACUGAGGCACGAAAGCGUGGGGAGCAAACAGGAUUAGAUACCCGGGUAGUC